rnacentral:rRNA from 1 species
UACGGAGGGAGCUAGCGUUGUUCGGAAUUACUGGGCGUAAAGCGUGCGUAGGCGGUUAUUCAAGUCAGAGGUGAAAGCCCGGGGCUCAACCCCGGAACUGCCUUUGAAACUAGAUAGCUAGAAUCUUGGAGAGGUCAGUGGAAUUCCGAGUGUAGAGGUGAAAAUUCGUAGAUAUUCGGAAGAACACCAGUGGCGAAGGCGACUGACUGGACAAGUAUUG